GGACCGCCGUCCUGGCUGUCUAGGUGCUGCACCAGUACUCCCUGGAUCAAACUGCGACGGAAUACAAGACAUCAUACACCAACACACCGGUGGGGUGCCUCUCAUGGACCCUUGGAUCCCAUCGAGACUCUCCAGAUGUUCCACUCCUUUCUCCUUUAUGCCAUUGGACAAUGUCUGUUCAGCAACUUUCGGGCUGUGAUAGACAUCCGUAUGGCGUGGUUGCUUGAGAACAUCGAGGAGAUCGGGUAUUAUGACUAGGGUGGAGCGGCGUAUGCAUAUCUGUUGCAGGUCUUGGAUCACCUUGCUUAUGGGGAUCGUGGCAUGUCAUGGGAUAUAUCAUCCAGGUAUUCUUCUGUCCCUGUACCUCUUUUCCUUUUUUUGAUCGUGCAUCUUUAUUGAUCUAUUGUCUUGGUUCCCUAAAACAGCCUUGGAUUUAUGAGCACUUGGCAUUCAUGUGCCCGAAGCUACGCAAUGCCGACGAGCUCUUCUUCUCGGCAUCCAGGAGAUGUGGGGAUAGUUGCAUUUUAAAGGGGUGAUCCGUCCUCCCAAGGGGGGUGUUCUACUCAUUCUCUCUUGAAUAAGAUAGUGAUGGUUGACUAGCGGCCCUUUCAGUUGAUUGAGUUUCUUGAUGUGGCGUAGCUAGAGUGAGCCACGGCCUUGACUCGUAUAAGGGUAUUGUUCUAAGGUCCCGAUGGUAGGGCUUGGUACCUCGGGGAAUGGUUCACUGCUCAGUGCUUAGGUGCGGGCCGACACAUCGUUCCUUGUCUUCCUCCUGCUAACAUGCACUAUUCGGAGGAUGUUCUUGAGGGCGAGGCCGAGCAUCCAGCUGAGGGGGUAUGGGAUGACAAUUUCUUGGACUUGUCAGGAGACUAUGAUGCCUUCCUUGAUAUGGAGACAGUUAGCGUUCCCUUGACCCCAGAGGGCCCCAUGUGGAGGACUCAUGACAUGGUUCUGCUUCCCUCUUCGUCACAGCCGGAUAUUAUUGCUUCUUCUACCACUGAGUCGUCAUUUGCCAUGGGUAGACCUUCUCACAACAUGGCCACCUUGCCAUUUCUGGGGUUUCCAGGUAUCCCUAGAGGCAUAUUCAGGGCUUAUGCUCAAAGCUAUUUAUGGAGAUAGAGUGGACACAUUCUAUGGUGUGGUAUGAUGCCAUGGUUGCAGGCGAUGUGAUGAUUCCGAAGGAUGACUUUGGCCCAUAUCGCAAUGAGGCUGAUUCUUAGGAUCUUUCUUUCCCUGCUCCUGUUAUUCCUGCACAAUCACAAACACAUAUAUCUCUUCCACCCCCCCCCCCCCCUUUUUCUUGUUACUUUUCUUUCUUACAUUGUACUGCCAAUCUUGGCACUUUUAUUUUUGAAUUGAAAACUUGG